UUUGUUGGGCGCGAAUGAAUGCGCGCGCGCGCGCGCGACGUCGGCCGGCCGCGUUGUCUUGUCACAUGGAGAGCCCGCAGCUACCUACUCUACUCGUCGGAGGCAGAUCUUGGCUUUCGGGUGGGGCUCGCCGCCGUCUCAGCGUAUCUGCGCCGCGGACUACGUGUCGAAGCCGAAGCGGAGAUGUCGCGGCGAGGGAAAGGGAGAUCACGAGACGAGAUCGGUUUCAGGCCGACCAGUUCCGUCCUUCGGAAAAGAUGGAAAAUGGCACAGCGAAAUCUCUACUCCUAAUGGAGCAGUUGGUAGUCUCGCUUCCAAAUUUUUUUUCGUCCCGCCACUUUCGUUCGGUUUUUUUUCGUCCCACCUCCACUGAUUUUUUUUCGUAGGUUUUUUUUCGGAGGUUUUUUCGUCCGCUCCUCUCGAUCCCUAGACGCCGCCGCCCGCCCCUUCCAGCCCUAGCCGCAACCCCAACCCCAUGGAGAUCGAGAUCAAGCCCCUUCCAGCCUCUCCUCCUUCCUCGCGCCCCGCCUGCUCCGCACCGACGCCCCCGCGCGGCCCCUCGCCGCCGCCGCCGCCGCCACCGCCGCCCAGCGGGACGUCCGCCUCUACGGCACCGACGACCGCGACCCCUCCCGCGCCGUCCUCACGCUCAAGCGCCGCCCGCGCAUCGAUGCCGGCGUCAGCUGCGUUGAGGAGUUCGUGGAGCCCCUCGACCCCGCCCUCGCCCUCACCUGCAUCGACAACCCUGCCCGUCUCGGUGCGGUCGACUCCCCCUGCUUGGUCUUCCUUCUUCGUUACUUUUAGGUUUGCCCUUCUUCUUUCCUCCUUUAAUUUCUUGAGCGGGCUGUUGUCUGUCAGCGCCUGUUACUCCGGUAGAUGGUUUUAUGUUGCAGAAAAGCAGGGUAAUGCUGGCCUCAAGCCAUGGGUCGGUGCCGUCCAGCGGCGCAGUCGUGGACGGACGGUGCGGCUGAUAAGCAUACUGAUAGUCCUCUUUGUCUUGCGGACGGAGAGAACCUGGCACUGCCGCCAUGGCUCUUCCGUCUCAAGCCUCUCCCUCAUGUUGCAGAUUGAUUGGUUGGCUGUUCACUCCUAAUUUGUGUUAAGCUGCUACUGCUGCUGCAGUGGCACAUUAUGGAACAAAGGACAUGAAUAUAUGUGCUCCACAGUAUGUUUGCUCAACAUGUUCGCUCAAGCAUGUUGAUUAGAGGCUGCACUGACUUGCAUUAGACGCGGACCAGCUGACUGUUGUUCAUUACAUCAAUGGAGUAUAAAGAGUUUGUUUUCCCAUUGAGCACUUGUUGAAACCAAAUGUAUCUCAGUAUGAGGAACAAAAUAUGCAGAAUAAGCUGAUUAAUGUUGCAUUUGAGCAGGCAUUAUUUGAGGUUAGAUGAGAACCAUUUUAUCUUAUUUUGCAUAGCUUAUCUUUUUUUUGUAUGUAUCUUUAUUUGUCAAUUGAAUAGCACGAUCUAUAUUGUUCCUCACAUCCACUUAGGUAUAUCAUGGGAGAUACUGUACAUGAGCCAAAUUACAAAGGUCAAACUAUUUUUACCACACCUCGCAAACCUAUGAACGUUAGAAACAAAACGGCGUGGCAAAGCGCGCGUAUACUACUAGAUUCAUGCUACACCACAUGUUCGGAAAUUACUAUCCAUCAGUUAGGAGGGCAACAUUUGUAUGGGGUGGUUAUGCUAGACCAUCACGACCUCCAUAGCCACAAACGAAAUGGUUUGCAAAUGAAUUUUCACAGCUACCAAGUUGUGACAUUUGACUCUCACACUUAUAUACCUCCUUACCAGUGCAAAUAUGUUUGUAUGGGUUUUGUUUUCGACAGGUUGCACUUCUUAAAGUUUUUGUGUGGCUGCACAUGUUAUGUCUCCCAUAUGGUUUAUCUUUACUGGCAUCCUAUUGAAUGUUGGGUUUUGAUGGAAGAAUGUGGGGGGAUCGGAACAUAGAGGUGAAAUAUUUUGUGAUAAUUAUUACUUUUUUAAGAAAUAUUGUCAUAUUUGAAGCUCUAUUGCUUCUUAAACCUAAUCAUAGCUUUGUGCAUGUUGAAGUUCCAGUCUUAUUGGUAGUUCCAAUGCAGCGACCUUGCUAUGUAAAUUCAAAGAAGUUACUACCUAAUAAUUCUCUCUUGCUAUUCCAGCUACCAGAGAAGUCUAAAGAAUGCUAAAAGGAAUACACUCUAAACCCGGGGAGAAGUAAGCAGCCAUUCAUCUCAUCAAUGUAUUUUUUCUUGGUUGCAUUUGGUUUGGCAGACCUAAAAUAAUCACGGUUACUCACUAGGUUUUUGCAGAUUGCACCUGUAUAUAAUGUGGUAGAUGCUACAAUAGAGUUAUAUUCCCUCCCGGGUUAUGUGUCGGACAGCUAGAGUAGUAAUGUUGCAAGUGGACAUCUGUUGUGGAACCAUUACCAGUUAUUGGUAUUCAAAUACAUGAUUUCUACUGCAAAUAUUUAUGCGAAUGCUUCCUUAUCAUGUUUUCUAAGCUCAAAAACCUCAAUUUCUUCCAUUUAAAUUUUCUCAUCCAUAAUGGACCUUUAUGAAAGGAGGCAAUUUGUCUAUCUCCAUUGCACAUGAAGCGUCUAUAGUGUUGUCACGUUUUUGUGUGUAUGGAGAUACUAAAAGGACCAGAAUUGUUGUUAAUAUUGCUGCACAAAUGUUUUGCAAUUUCCUAAAUCACUGUCAAGUUUUUGUUUCCUAACUCCACAUUUAUCUAGAAAUCACUUGAUUAAAUGUAUUACAGUGUCAAAAAUAACAAGUCCAAAUUUUGUUCUAAUCUAUGUGAUGACAUGUUUGAUUUGUAGGGCAUGGAGAGUGCUUGUGGAAAUUGUUCAGUUAGCUGAUGACAUGUUUGAUUUGCAGGGCUUAUGUUGCACGAAGAAACAAGAAACAUGUUUGAUUUGCAGGGUGAUUCUGCACUAAUUAUUCAGUUUGUUGUCUUUCCAAUCCAGAAGAACUAAGUGCUUGAUUUGGACAAGCCAUGGUGACACCAGCUCCCAGCCAUAGUGAUUUGUAAUUUGACAGAACUUAUCCCUGGUUGCGUAAUGGAGAAAUCAGGGAUGCCUAAGAUCAGCGAUGAGGCGGAGGCAUGCGCUUGUCCUCUCAGCCCUUGUUUUGAUGCCAUGGUGCCUUUCACUUCCGUCCGCCUCUAGCUGGCGCUGGAUGCACCUAUCCCUUUCCGCAGUGCAUCCAUCUUGCGGUACAACACCACUAAUAUCUCACGAAAUUGUUGGACCAGUUCUAAACUUGAUUAGUGGUCGAAGACAAAAAAAAUUUGUCUCAUGUUCACAAACCUUGGAGGAGGGAAACAUCAAAAGUUUGUUAGUGCAGGACUGUGUCGGGUAGCAUGUGAGGCCCCAACCGACACGCGCGGUCGUGCACCAAAGGCCCAGUACACAUAGACGCUACGUCCUGGACUGUGGCCGCUGCGUCUCCUAGGACUAUUUAGGUAACCUUUUCUAAAAUAAAGGCAAAUUGAAUUUUCUUCCAAUCCCACAUGAAUGUCAGUAAUAAGUAAGCUACUGGUAAUGCAAAUCUUCAAUGUCCAGUUUUUUUGGUAAUGGAACAUUUAGACCUACAUAUUAGAUUCCAGGAGAACAUGAUGCGAGCAGCACUGGCACAAGCAUGUGUGGUUAGAUAUUUGUUCAAAGGAAUCAUUACAAGAAAAUGUGAAAGAAGAAGGUUUGGGAAAUGAAAGGAAGCAUUGAUAUUCACGAUGGAGUGCUGGUUAUAGGAUGACAGACAACUAGAGGAUGAGGGUCGCUUUCUUUCCGUUGAUUAAAGAUCUGGUGGAUUUUCCCGACGCCAACUAUUCUAUUAUUGGUAUGUGACCUGCACAUGCUAUGGUUAGAUGCACUUCUAAUUUUCUCUCAAGCGUAUACAGAUUUUGUUUAUCGAUUUACCACUAAUUUCCACUACGGCCUGAGUAUUGAUCUCAUGCAUGCUUAUACAUAAUUACUAUUGAUUUACAGCCAUUUGUGAUUACCUUGCACUGUAAUACAACAACAACAAAGCCUUUAGUCCCAAACAAGUUGGGGUAGGCUAUUACUUUGCACUGUAAUGAGGAAGAUAUAUCUUGAUGAUGAUCUCAUUAUUUGACAUGAAAUUGGCAUAUAUGAGAUGGUCUAUGUGAGACUUGCGGAGACUGAUGUAUGAUUAUUUCAUUUCAUUUUGAUUUCCAGAAAGUGUUCUUGCAACAAUAUGAUAGCCUAUGACUCUAUUUUACCUUUUCUUAUGAAAAAAUGUUCUAAAUUAGUUCAUAAUUUCAUAUGUGUUAUUUUUUAAAAUAUCAUACGUGUUUUCAGUAUUAGUUUGGUUUUUCUUAAAUGUAACAACAACUAGAAAAUGGUGUAAACGAUAAAUGACGACGGCCCGUUCAGAGAAGAUAGUUACUAUAUAGCUUACAUGUACGGUGGUGCCUCCCUUGAGUUGGAGAAUAUUUUAGUUCAUCAACUUGCAGCUAUAGCAAUGACCAACACAAUUUCUCCUACGAAAUUUCCAUUCUUCCCCUGUUCUGUUGGUUGCUGGUGUAGAUUUACUUCUUAUAUAAGAUAAGACAUAGAUUUUUUUGUUACAAGCAAAUUAGAUUGGUCAUGAAAACAUGUUAUUUCAGCAGCAGUUAUUGUUUCAACUGAUAUCAUCUUUGCUUACUGGGAGCUAGCUAUCCCCGACAAUAGAUUACGCUUCAGUUAUAUUCGACCAGUAAUAUGACGUAAUGGUUUUAUUCUCUCCUUGCAUUUGCCUCUGCUUUCUUGAUUCUGUCCUUAAAUGAUGACUAGAUAUGCCCGUUGAUAAAGUUAUCUGAUGUACAUGAGGAUCAUGAAGUUAUAUGUUCCUCAUGAUUGGUGUUGACUAGCUACAGAACCUGGGCACUACUCAGUAGUCAGUACACCGACCACUUCAACGAUGCAACAGAUGCACCAACAUCCCACUGUGCAGAACACAUUUGUGUAGUCACUUUUUAUAUUACAACAAGGUUUACUCAGACACUACACUAUGGCUUCAAACCUGGGCUAAAUUUGUGUUGGCCUGAAGGAAUGCAAAAAAUACUACUUUGGCAUAUUGAUUGGUUGGUAAGCAUUGUAUUUGAGUUUCGCACAAUCAGUAGCAUGUUUAGCAUAACAUUUUUGGUAUCUAGGAACACUAUUGUAGGGAUCCUUGUUCAGUGUUGUUCGUUUACACAAGAAUUUGUGGAACAAAAUUAUUUGUCAGGCCCCUUGCAGCCUACAUGGUCGGGACAGGCGCUGGCAGGACGGAUAGAUGCUGUUUUGGUGCCAGUGGCGAGCUGCCGGGGUCGCGGUUCCUCGGCCAGGAUGAGAUGGGCAUCUUGGUGCUGGCUCGGAGGAGAAAGACGAAGGUUGGCCCAGCCAACGAUGGCUUGGCAAACGAACUGAAUUGUCUAGGUGUCAACCAGUUUGCCAUUUGGCGAAAGACAGGUCCAGGGGGAGACUCCAGUAUCCAAGAAUUCUGCCUAUGCACCUUAAAGAAGUUAUUUUCAUAAGUUCCAGGUGAACUACACUAAUGGUAAGAAAGUGAAAAAAACAAGUGCUCAGGCAUGUAGUAACAUACAGGCACGCAAUGGCAGAGAUGGUGCUCCCAGAGAUGCGAAUCACAUGGGUACAUCAUCGAGAAUGGUGAGAAGUCUGUGAACUUUUUUGUCCUCCAGGUAGCACAUCCUUCACAAACAAUGUUUUUUACAAAUGAGCAUAAGAAGCAUGAGCUGUAGCUUCACCACAGCCUAUCAAUAAAAUCAUUUCAGUACCUCUAAAGAGCCGGCAUAGAACUCGCCCCGAGCAUGUCCUGAACCAUCCCCCUGAACCGAACGAGGCUGUUGGGUUUGAUCAGUCCGAGAUUUGACGCAUCCAAUACUGGUGCUUGGCCAAUUUGUAGUACUUCUUCGUGUACAAGACUCCCACUGCACACACAUGAGAAUAAAUUCCGUAAAAUCAUUCAGUCCAUCAGAAGGAGCAUCAUUCUGAGACACACCAAAAUUUCAAAUUCGAUCAAGGAAUUGAGUAAGACACUCAGUUAUUGUAAUACCAAGUACAAUUCUUUAAGAUUACAACUUCACUUGAACUAGAUUCUUGGGCUAGGAUGUCAUACUGUGUAUAUGCUCGAACUGGUAGCAGAUAAUGCAUGUAAACCAGAAAAAUCUUCACAUUUAUCUGACCAAAUGUGCAAGAGCAAAUGUACUUCCCGUUCA